rnacentral:misc_RNA from 1 species
CUGAAGGAAGUAGCAGACGCGCCGAGUGGUGUGGCCAGCCUGGCCUGCAGCAUUUAACAGCCUCUCUCAUUCGGUCAGAGAUGCAUUUUAUCGUUCUUUCCUGAGUAUUCGCUUUGUGUUGAACAUCAGAUCCACUGCUCAGCUGCGAUGUCCGACAAAACAGAGUUGCGUUCUCCAAACUUCUUGCUCAAGUCUUUCUUUGCUGGUGGUGUGGCCGGCAUGUGUGCCAAGACAACAGUAGCUCCACUGGACAGAAUCAAGAUACUUCUUCAGGGUCACCAAUGCCACUACAAGCAUUAUGGUGUAUUCUCUGGCCUCAAGGGCAUAGUGCAGAAAGAGCAAUUCCUUGGGCUAUACAAAGGCAAUGGAGCACAGAUGGUCCGUAUUUUUCCCUAUGCUGCCGUACAGUUUCUUUCAUUUGAAGCAUACAAACGAGUUAUACGGAACACCUUUGAAAAUACUUCCCAUGCAAGCAAGUUUGUGGCUGGUUCAUGUGCAGGUGUGACUGCUGCAGUGACUACUUACCCGUUGGACAUGGUCAGGGCAAGACUAGCAUUUCAAGUCAAUGGCCAUCACAUCUACAAUGGAAUCUUUCAUGUUGUGACGUCCAUUGUUAAGACGGAAGGCGGCGUCAGAGCAUUGUACAAGGGUCUUUCACCAACAGUUCUUGGUAUGGUGCCUUAUGCGGGGCUGUCCUUCUACGUCUUUGAGCGUUUGAAAGCCUUUUGCCUGGAAGUGUUUCCCAACACCUGCGGCCGUCCGUACCCGGGUAACACAGGUGGUAUUGUGCUUGUGGUUCCUGCCAAACUUCUGUGCGGGGGCUUUGCUGGUGCAAUUGCACAGACUUUUUCCUACCCUCUAGAUGUUGCCCGUCGACAAAUGCAGCUUAGCAUGAUGCACCCAGAAAUGAAUAAAUACAGCAAGAGCCUGUUCAGCACAUUGGCAUUGACCUUUCAUGAGCACGGCAUCUCCCGAGGAUUGUACCGUGGUAUGAGCGUCAACUACCUGCGUGCGAUUCCCAUGGUGGCCGUGUCGUUCUCUACAUACGAGGUUGCUAAACAGUUGCUGGGUCUGGACACAGGCCUCGACUCCUGAUCACAUAUCUCACUCUUAAUAACAGUGGUACACUUAACUGUGCCAGCCAGUCAUAAGCAUCAAAGUAACAGUCAGCAGCAACUUAAGGCAUAGCCAAGUCCUGGUGCUUUUGGCAAGAUGAAUUUGUCAUACAUGGGGCAUCCCACUUGGCCUUGCAGAGUACAGACUGUCUGAAGUACUGGAAUAUGCACACGCAUUUUUCUUGCAGUUCUGAAAAGUGCCACAGUGCAAGUGCACAUGCGAAACUGAUGGGACUUUCAGUACACCUAGAGACGAGACAACUGUAGGCCCAAUGUGUUUUGACAAAGCCUUUACUGCAGGCUGUGCACAGAGGCCAUGCAGUUGGUUUUGUGGGCACAGCUUUUGUAUCGAAAACACCAGAGUAAGUUUGCUUAGAAGUCUAGUGUGUCAGCAAAACCCCACACAUAAUCAUAACUCAACACCUCUUGGGUCUGCACAGCUUCUACUCAACUCAGCUGUGAUUUAACACAUAAGGCAUCGAGAUUCAAUAAAGUUAGAUGCAGGA